UUUUUGGAUCAGCCCAAGAAGUCAAGAACAAAGAUAGAUGUCCCUAUGGUCCCUCUUUGAAACCCAUUUUUUGGUCAAAACAAGUGAAUGACUAACCCAUAUUAAUGGAUCCAGAUCCUCCAUCGAAGCAAGGACCCUUACCAUUCGACCCGGAACUGCUUAACCUAACGACGUCGUUCACGUCACCUUCCCCAUUAACACUUCGUCUUGCCAGAAACCAAAGAAAACAGUCCGACAAAUCCAACUCUUUCCGGCGAAGCAAACUGUCUAUUCGGACGCCGGUUGGUUCUCUUUAGCUAUGAAUCAGAAGUUCGGCGGAGGGAAGCUGCCGACCGGCACUCCGUCGCUGGCUUGGUCCAGCGUCGUCGUCGUCGUCUCACUUCUCGCCGGAGCCUCCGUCGUCCACAAUCUCUACAAGCCCGAUCUUACAUUGCCUCCUGUCGAUGGUGUUAAUGUGACCAAGGAGAAGGAACCGGAGAAGAAAGAAUGAAACUGCUUCCUUCGAGUUUUUUCUGCUAUGCCAAUCGGCUGUGUUUUGAGUUGUAAUCGCUUCAUGAAUAUUCCUCUUUCGCAUUUGUUAGUUUGAUUACAAUAACUUUGUUGCUGCAAGUUGGAGAGAAACUUCCAUGGAAGUACUAAGUCGUAUCAUUUGUAUAAUUCACAAGGUCAGCUAAUAUACACUAUAAGAACAAGUAAAAUAUGA